rnacentral:SRP_RNA from 1 species
UGUUGGUUCUCCCGCAACGCUAACUUGUUAACUCGGUCAGGUCCGGAAGGAAGCAGCCAUGGCAGGUGUCGCGUGUGCCGGGAUGUCGCUGACAAGG